UGUUUCUUGUUUUUGUCAUAGGUUCAAAGACCUUGGAAUCUGGUCUCACUUAGAAUCACCUUGUAUUUUGGUGGCAUGUGUUGCUGGUAGCAUCCAAAUGUUCCCUUUCCUCUCCUUAUGAAACAUCUGAUUUCUGAGUUCACGCCUCUUGGACUAAAGAUCACAUUUCCCAGCUUUCCUUGCAGAUAAGCACAGGUCUAUGACUGGCUGCUGUGUCAUGAGACUGCAGCUUUCAUAAGAGUGAAGACUCAAGACGUCAGAGCAAUGAAUGACACAGGAGGAAGCUGGGACUUAUAACAUUGUGAGCCUUCACAUCAUCUCCGUUACUACCAUGCUGUUACAUCAGAGAGAUAAAGACUCAUUUAGCCACUGUG